GGUCCGCUAGCUCAGUUGGUAGAGCACCUGACUCUUAAUCAGGGUGUCAAGAGUUCGAGCCUCUGGCGGAUCACCA
rnacentral:tRNA from 1 species